AUUGAACGCUGGCGGCAUGCCUUACACAUGCAAGUCGAACGGCAGCACGGGAGCAAUCCUGGUGGCGAGUGGCGAACGGGUGAGUAAUAUAUCGGAACGUGCCCAGUCGUGGGGGAUAACGCAGCGAAAGCUGUGCUAAUACCGCAUACGAUCUCUGGAUGAAAGCGGGGGACCUGCAAGGGCCUCGCGCGAUUGGAGCGGCCGAUAUCAGAUUAGCUAGUUGGUGGGGUAAAGCCCACCAAGGCGACGAUCUGUAGCUGGUCUGAGAGGACGACCAGCCACACUGGAACUGAGACACGGUCCAGACUCCUACGGGAGGCAGCAGUGGGGAAUUUUGGACAAUGGGCGCAAGCCUGAUCCAGCAAUGCCGCGUGCAGGAUGAAGGCCUUCGG
rnacentral:rRNA from 1 species